CAAAAUUUGCACGUGCCCUAUUUAACGCCAUUCACAAAAAACCAUCAGCUGAAACAUUUUUAUCAUUUUUUAAAAUCCUACAUACUAUGAAAAAAAAAAAAAAAAAACAUAUUUUAAUAUUAAUUGUCAAUCAACAAUGUCAAUUAUUAUGAAGCAAAAAGCAUUGCUGCAUCGUCUUCUCAAAUUUGUCGUGUGUAUUGCCAAGCUUAUAACAGGAAAAAACCUGUAUACCUUCGGGAAAACUCAAAAGAGCGCAUGUUACAAUGACAGAAGAUAAAUCGAAAAUCAGCACAACACGUUCAAAUUACGCAAGUUCAGGGAGUUGUAGUAUGUCGAACAGGGCCGUGGGCAGCACUUUACGAGGCAGAAGUUAUGUCCGAGAGCACCGGCACACGAAGCGUAGGUCUUCUAGUAUUUGCUGUUGUGAGUUGUAUGGAACAUUUUUACGUGUAGCUGUCUCUACAAUGAAGUUACGUCGAUGCUUCGUAGACGGCGAGAACAUUGUACAAAUGAAAACGUAGAUAAAAUCUGUGACUUGUCUCCGUUCGUGUUCUCGCAAAUAGUUGUAAAAAAAUUCCACUAUUCCAAAAAGCAUUAAAGAAUUUUAUAGUGCAAUUUUACAAAAUUAUAGUCUUUACGUGCUUUUCUACAUAUUCACGUCUCAUAAUGACGUGAUUUUUCUUUUAUUAAUAUGCCUGUGUUUGAUCUAAGAAUAUUUCUCCAAACACUAUUUUAAAACGACAUAUAUUGGUAAUACUCUAAAAUAAAACCACAUUGUAAGUUUAUUUUAUAAUGAACUAGCUGACCCGGCAGACUUCGUACUUCCUCAAUCGAUAAAUAAAAGACCUAAACUUUUGUAUAAAAUAAACUUAAAACAAACAAAAGGAAUCCGUCCGACGGGGGACACAUCAAAGGAAAAACAAAAUUGUUAUUUAUAUUUAAUUCUGAGCAUUUUCAUAUUUAUCUACCUUUUAAACCUACUUUGUACUUCCACAAAUAAUUCAAGAUCAAAAUUAGCCAAAUCUGUUCAGCCGUUCUGGAGCUUUAGCGAGACUAACGAACAGCAAUUCAUUUUUAUAUAUAGAGAUAAAUAAAAUAUAUUACAGUCAAAUUUCAACUAAUUCACGUAUAACAAUAUUGUGAUAAGGGCCACAACACAAGAGUGCAAAGAGCGUCGUUUUAAAUACACAAAUUCGCACUUGACUGCCAGCCGAGCGAGUGUAGACCGUACCGAGUGAAAAGCCUACCCCAUAUGUGUACAUUAUUAAUCAUAAUAAUGGCACCUACUCCUCAACGGGCGGCUUAAUUUAAUUAAUUAAGCAGUACUAAAUAUUGUAGACGCGCAGCUCACCAACGACGAUGAAAUGUUAACAAUGUUAUUGUUCUAGUGGAUUAAAUCUAACAGCGGAUGGCUCUGAUAUUAAUUUGAAUGUUCGGGCGAAAUCCUUGGACAAGGUCGCUGACUUAACGAUGUAUUAAUUUAAUGGAGCAUGAAGUUUGCGUUUACGAUUAGACGAAUAUAACGAAUAGCUUCACGAUAUAGGGGCACAAAAUUAGUAUGCAUUGUAUAUAUGGGCGCAAACGCCACUAUUGGCAAUAAUUAACAUAAUAAUAUAUAGUUUAAUUUAUUCUAUGUUAUUGUUUAUUUAUUAUUAGCAAGAUGAAACUAUUAUUCUACCAUAUUUAAUAAUUAGCAGACACUGUUUUGAUGUGAAAAUGUCCAGAAUACGUUUAAUGUUUAUAUUAUUGUUUAAAAACACAAAUGAUUGUAUAAAUAAUUAAAUAUGAAUAAAGCAUAAAUAUUAAUAACAAUUUAUAUUAUAAUUAACAGUAAUAAUUUAAUUAAGUAUUAUAAUUGUUAUGCAAUGAUGUUGAUGGCGCCAUCUAUCAUUAGGCUGGUUAAUAACAAUGUUAGUUUAAAUUAGUUAAAAGUAAUUUAUGUAACAUAAAUUAAUGUCAGAGUCAUGUAAAAAUCACUAAAAUAUGUAUUGUGAUGUGAUAUUAAGCCAUAUUUUGUGAAUUGUUUCGCAGUAAUUACAUUCGUUUGUAUAAAAGAAGUUGUAUUUGCAAAAUGGCUAAUUGUGUAAGAACUAAGACAUGGCUUUUUGUAAGAAACAAGUAAUGUUAAAAUUUUAUAGAAUUGUAUUGUAUUUUUAUUGUAAAAUAACUUAUGUGUGAAAACCCUGGCGUAAUGCCGACAUAUACAUAUAUAUUUGAAACUGUCUUAUUUUGAUACAAAAUGGCAUUCAGAUUUAUUUCACGAUCACUGUUCACCAUGAACGUCUUACACAAUGGAAAUAUACGUAGCAUUUAUUAUUAUAAAAUAACGUGUCUUUGGUUUAUUAAAAUUUGUAAAAACAAUAUCGAAACAUCAAAAAAUCAACUUUUAAAACGUAUUUUCAAAAGAAAGUCACCCUCGUUUAUUCAGGCCUGCUUGUUCUCUUCAGUAGCUUAAUUUUCCUUGUAUCUCGUGUGUACUUACUACAUACCAAAUUAAAUUUCUUGUUAAAUGAAGACUUAUGAUAACAAAACAUACACAAAGAGCUUUAAUACGUUAUCGUAAAAGUUACAUAACUAAACCAAACAGAGUUCUUGGAGAAAUUCAAAAUAUUGUUAUAACAAAAGUGUAUAUAAUUAAAAUCGAUGAAAAACUUUCCGGUACUCCUGAACAUUUGUAUGAAGCAAUUCUGCCGCUAAUGAUAAUAUCUGUUGAAUCUUAAGUUAAAUGUCCUCUAUUUUGAUGAUUUAAAACUUUAAUGCUCAUUGCUCGUCAAUUUAUUUUUUGGUCAAAGAAUAUAAUUUGGUAACUAUCUAAAAUUACAUUUAUACAUUCUUCAUUCACUAUUCAGUCUAUUCUUCUGUGGAAUGCGCUCCCACUCAAAAUAAGGUCGGCCACUACACGUGAAGCGUUUAAGACGAAGGUUCGAGAACUGUUUCGCGGAGAGUUAGCAGAGGCAUCUAAUUGAUAAUAUUUGUUUAUAUAUGUUUUAUAUGUAUAUAUUUAUGAUAUGUAUAUGUAUAUAUUUAUGUAUAUCUAUAUAUUUGUGUAUAUGUAUUUAUUUAAGUACGAGUAUUUGUAUCUAUAAAUAUUAUGUAUGUUAUAUAUACACAUAUGUUUAAGUAAUAUCACCUUCACACUACACCUACCAAGCUUCAUCUCUGCACUCCCCUAAGGUAGACUGUUAGAGAAUGCCUAUGGCAUUAAUUCCGCCUUUAUACUUUCUAGUAUAAGAAGUUAUAAAUAAAUAAAUAAAAUUUCAAUUCUUCAAUAGAAAUAAACAGACCGAGGAUAUAAAAGGUGUGGCUUCAACACAUUGUGAGAACCCUUAAUAAUGAGAGAAAAUGAUAAAAGGUCUAACAAUUAUUGUUAAUUAUUUUUGUGAGUAAAAAAUUUAUCCUUCAUAGAAACACAGCAACCAUGUUAAAUUAUUUCCUUCGGUUUUCACUAGACGUAGACACCAUUUCAGAUCAUUGUGAGAACCUUUAAUAAUGAAGAAAAUGUGUAAAAUCCAUUAAUCUAAAUAUUAUCAUACAUUAUUUUUAUCCCUCAUGAUCAUAAAAACUAUAAAGUAUUCUCAGCGUAGAAAAAGAAUAAAAUGAAAAUAAAAAAGUAAAAUUUAAACCUAAAA